AGAGUUUGAUCAUGGCUCAGAGUGAACGCUGGCGGCGUGCUUAACACAUGCAAGUCGAACGAUGAAGCUUCUAGCUUGCUAGAAGUGGAUUAGUGGCGCACGGGUGAGGAAUAUAUAGCUAAUGUGCCCCUUAGAGGGGGAUAACAGUUGGAAACGACUGCUAAUACCCCAUACUCCUUCUUGUUAUAAGACAAGUCGGGAAAGUUUUUUCGCUAAGGGAUCGGGCUAUACGGUAUCAGCUUGUUGGUGAGGUAAUGGCUCACCAAGGCUAUGACGCCUAUCUGGUCUGAGAGGAUGAUCAGACACACUGGAACUGAGACACGGUCCAGACUCCUACGGGAGGCAGCAGUGGGGAAUAUUGCACAAUGGAGGAAACUCUGAUGCAGCAACGCCGCGUGGAGGAUGACACAUUUCGGUGCGUAAACUCCUUUUAUGUGAGAAGAUAAUGACGGUAUCACAUGAAUAAGCACCGGCUAACUCCGUGCCAGCAGCCGCGGUAAUACGGAGGGUGCAAGCGUUACUCGGAAUCACUGGGCGUAAAGCGCGCGCAAGCGGCCUGAUAAGUUGGAUGUGAAAUCCUAUGGCUCAACCAUAGAACUGCAUCCAAAACUGUCAGGCUAGAGUCUGGGAGGGGAAGAUGGAACUAGUUGUGUAGGGGUAAAAUCCGUAGAUAUUGGAAGGAAUACCAGAAGCGAAGGCGACUGACUGGGACAUUACUGACGCUGAGGCUCGAAAGCGUGGGGAGCAAACAGGAUUAGAUACCCUGGUAGUCCACGCCCUAAACGAUGAACACUAGUCGUUACGGAGCUAGUCUCUGUAGUGACGCAGCUAACGCAUUAAGUGUUCCGCCUGGGGAGUACGGUCGCAAGAUUAAAACUCAAAGGAAUAGACGGGGACCCGCACAAGCGGUGGAGCAUGUGGUUUAAUUCGAAGAUACGCGAAGAACCUUACCAAGGCUUGACAUGUUAGGAAUCUUGUAGAAAUAUGAGAGUGCUGGCUUGCCAGAACCUAAACACAGGUGCUGCAUGGCCGUCGUCAGCUCGUGUCGUGAGAUGUUGGGUUAAGUCCCGCAACGAGCGCAACCCUCGUCCUUAGUUGCCAGCGGUUCGGCCGGGAACUCUAAGGAGACUGCCUGCGUAAGCGGGAGGAAGGUGGGGAUGAUGUCAGGUCAUCACGGCCCUUAUGCCUUGGGCAACACACGUGCUACAAUGGGAUAUACAGAAAGCUGCAAUACCGCGAGGUGGAGCCAAUCUCUAAAAUAUCUCUCAGUUCGGAUUGUAGUCUGCAACUCGACUACAUGAAGUCGGAAUCGCUAGUAAUCGUAGAUCAGCUAUGCUACGGUGAAUACGUUCCCGGGUCUUGUACACACCGCCCGUCACAC
rnacentral:rRNA from 1 species